rnacentral:rRNA from 1 species
UACGUAGGGGGCAAGCGUUGUCCGGAUUUACUGGGCGUAAAGAGCGCGCAGGCGGUCGUUCAAGUCGCGUGUGAAAGCCCCCGGCUCAACUGGGGAGGGUCACGCGAUACUGAUCGACUCGAAGGCAGGAGAGGGUAGUGGAAUUCCCGGUGUAGUGGUGAAAUGCGUAGAUACUGGGAGGAACACCAGUGGCGAAGGCGGCUACCUGGACCGGUUCUGACGCUGAUGCGCGAAAGCGUGGGGAGCAAACAGG